UAUUGUUUCUUUUGAUGUUAUAUAUGUUGUAUGAAGAGCGGUGCAGGUGACGCUUCUUCCCUGCACUCUCUGAAUGGUCAGCACGUCACUUCAGAUGAGACAGACCCCUAUGAGAUGGAGGUACGUGUCCAGUGAAAACCUUUCCUCUUCCCCUUUUUAUGUUUCAUAGCUAUCAUUUUGGUACAACAGGUGAUUUUACGCGCCAGGGAGGCAGAGAUGCAGUUCCUCCGACAAGAAGCCAUGUCUCUCAAGGAGGAACUCAAACUGGCUCGAAUGGAUACGAUUUAUGCCCAGAAUAAGCUCAAGUCUUUGUGCAUGGGAACCCCUCAUGAGAAGUUGUAUGAGGACUUUAAUAAAUGUGCCACUUGGUCUCCGGGAAAACGGGAGCACGGUCAAGUACUGUCAGAGGACGCUGUGGCAAACAAAGACGAUGUCACAGUUGAAAAUAAAACUAGCAAAUUGUCAAUCUCCCGUCGGCUUAGAGCAGUGAGG
rnacentral:lncRNA from 1 species